rnacentral:rRNA from 1 species
UACGUAGGGUGCAAGCGUUAAUCGGAAUUACUGGGCGUAAAGCGUGCGCAGGCGGUUCGCUAAGAACAGAUGUGAAAUCCCCGGGCUUAACCUGGGAACUGCAUUUGUGACUGGCGGGCUAGAGUAUGGGCAGAGGGGGGUAGAAUUCCACGUGUAGCAGUGAAAUGCGUAGAGAUGUGGAGGAAUACCGAUGGCGAAGGCAGCCCCCUGGGCCAAUACUGACGCUCAUGCACGAAAGCGUGGGGAGCAAACAGG